GAGUUUGAUUCUGGCUCAGGAUGAACGCUAGCGGCAGGCCUAACACAUGCAAGUCGAGGGGUAAGGAGAGCUUGCUUUCCCUAGACCGGCGCACGGGUGCGUAACGCGUGUACAAUCUACCUUACACAGGGGGAUAGCCCGGAGAAAUCUGGAUUAAUACCCCAUAGUAUUAUUGCUUGGCAUCGAGUGGUAAUUAAAGUUUAAGCGGUGUAAGAUGAGUACGCGUCCUAUUAGCUAGUUGGAGUGGUAACGGCACCCCAAGGCUACGAUAGGUAGGGGUCCUGAGAGGGAGAUCCCCCACACUGGUACUGAGACACGGACCAGACUCCUACGGGAGGCAGCAGUGAGGAAUAUUGGUCAAUGGUCGAAAGACUGAACCAGCCAUGCCGCGUGCAGGAAGACUGCCUUAUGGGUUGUAAACUGCUUUUGUAUGGGGAGAAUAAGAGGUACGUGUACC
rnacentral:rRNA from 1 species